rnacentral:lncRNA from 1 species
CAUUUUGAAGAUCUUUUCUAUCAAACGUCUAUUGGUUCUGAUGAAAAGAAAAGCAUAUUGCCCAAUGACACAAAAAGGGCAAUAUUUCCCUACAGCGCAGGCAUCUAAAUACCUAUAAGAAGAUAAUUCUGUGAAACUCUUCACCCCACAAAGGUGAUAGAUACUUAUACCAUGUAGCCUGCACUUUCCAAGUUUAAACAUUUCCAUACCAAUAACCAUGGUUACAGUGGAAUAUUUACUAGUUCAGACACUAAGGGCAACAAUUUGGAAUUUUGUCAUUUGCUACCUGAUCAGCGUGCUGUAUUUAAAGUCUAUAUUCAUUUCUUUUGGGGCAGGAUAACCACAGUCCUCACAGCCUGCGUGGAACACCAGCAUGCCCACUCUGAUGGGUGGGAAGGGCACGUCCUCUGUGCCAGCCCCAGCACAGCAGCCCCGGUGCCCUUACAUUCCCCUUCCCAGAGCUGUCCCCACGACUGCCAACCCCUGCUCUGUCAGACCAGGCUGCCGGCUGAAAUGCUGAUGCAGGGAAAGGCAAGGAACUGGGAGAGACAGCUGACUGCCACACCUAUUGGAGAGAGAGGCGGAGAAUUCUAUUCCCUCCGAGGAAGGGGAAGGGCACAAGAGCUAAGGAUGCCCAAAUGCAAUCCUGUAGGACAGCUGGGGACAUUCACCAGCACACAGCAGGAUUGCAGCACUGUCGGCCAAGCUGGAUCAGGAAUAACCAAGGAUGAGAGACAAGACCUCAAGUUCCAUAUCUGGAACAAAGUAGCUGCAUAACCCUUGCCAAGUCACCCACUACUAAGACUCAAGUUUCCUCAAUUUGUUAAAAUACUAGUGUUUCAAAAAAAAUCUCAAGAUGGCUUCUGGCUCUGAAAUUCUAAAGCCAUCAUAACAAACAUAAGCAUAAUAAAUAAUAAGCACAGCUACCAUUUACUGAGACUGUACUAUGCACCAUCCAGUGUAUCAUCUCAAUUAAUUUUGUGAUGCUGAGAUUUAUUGAACCCACCUUAUAGAGGAGGAAACUUUCAAACUCAAUCCAUGAAUCCCCAUGAAAAUAAAGGAUCAUCAUAUCCAUUCAGCGUUUGGAAUUGAAAUGGAGGCAUUUAAUCUUUGUGCCAGAAGUUGAGAUGACAUCUAAGAAUGGAAUUUCUGCACUGUUGGGUGAUUAAUAUGUUUACAGUCUGUGCUGGUAUAAUUCUGAGCUACUAGUAUUUAUGGUUACGGUCAUUCAUGCUACUGCGAACCCCAUUUUCCACCUGUUGUGUUUUAUUAAGCCUCCCUAAAGGACAUAAAAUAUUUCCUUGUGCAGAUUCUAAAAACAGGAUCCUGAAAUAUGUGAGCAGAAAUGUCCAAUGUGGAUUUAUUGUUAGGAAUUUCAGAUGCUAUAAAACACGGUGUUUACAAUCAAUUCAUCAUUUAAUAAGAGUUUAUUAGAUUGCUAUGCCAACCGGCUCACUGGUGUCCUGCCAUUUAUUGAUGC